GUGGUAAUUAUUUAUUACAUUAACUGUAAGCGAAACCUGAGAAUGACCGGUCAUUCUAACCCCACGUGUCAAAACAAAUCAAUCAUCCGUUACAUGCAAAAGAAUAAAUUUACUCUGAGGGAGUGGAGACCUGAAAGUCAAGGAGAAAAAUCAUUAAGCUAUAAACUACAGUCAAUUAAAUGUAUGUGAGUGUCUCUCUCUAUAUAUAUUUUUAUUAAUUAAAAUAAACUUAUUUAUUUAUUUUUAACAAUAUUUUUUUUUAAAUUUGUGAACAAAAUCCUAUCUCUACUACCAGCAAAAACAGGGUGCGAAGACACCAUCCUUGGCUUGAUUCUGAAAAACGACAAGUCCACAACUUGAUAAACCUAUAGAAUAAAGAAACCUCACUCUCACUAGCAGUGGUCGGUCACUCCACCCUUUCUUAUCUCGAAAAUGGCAUAGCCGUAAAUAUAUCCAAUAACCAGCACCUAAAGAGAAACGCUCCCUCUUUAAUAUCAACGACAAAAUAAAAAUAGAAAAAAAUCAGUACACUACUCUAAACAGCAGCAGCAAGUCUCCAACAACAUUAACAUCUCAUAGUAGGUCUCCCUCUCCCUCUCGCUGUAUCUCUUGCGGCUAGGGUUUUUCUUUCUUUUCUUUCUCUCUCUAACUUUAUUGAGUUCUUUAUUCUUACAGAUCUAGAUUCAUGAUAAAACAAGAAACGAUAAAUAUGGAGGUCUUGUUACCUUAGGGUUUCGUGGAGGUGUUUUUUGUGGCGUGUUAGUUUGAUUGUUGUUGAGGUUUUUGUUUAUCGGAAAUGGCGACGAUCAAUCCUUUUGAUUUAUU
rnacentral:lncRNA from 1 species